CACGUAGGGCGCGAGCGUUGUCCGGAAUUAUUGGGCGUAAAGAGCUCGUAGGCGGCCUGUUGCGUCCGCUGUGAAAGCCCGGGGCUUAACCCCGGGUCGGCAGUGGAUACGGGCAGGCUAGAGGUAGGUAGAGGGUAGUAGAAUUUCUAAUGUAAAGGUGAAAUUUGAUAAAAUUAGAGAGAAUACCAAUGGCGUAAGCAACUAUCUGGUCCUUAACUGAUACUGAGGUGCGAAGGUAUGGGGAGCGAAUAGG
rnacentral:rRNA from 1 species